CGGGGUGAGUAAUGUCUGGGAAACUGCCUGAUGGAGGGGGAUAACUGCUGGAAACGGUAGCUAAUACCGCAUAACGUCGCAAGACCAAAGAGGGGGACCUCGGGCCUCUUGCCAUCGGAUGUGCCCAGAUGGGAUUAGCUAGUAGGUGGGGUAACGGCUCACCUAGGCGACGAUCCCUAGCUGGUCUGAGAGGAUGACCAGCCACACUGGAACUGAGACACGGUCCAG
rnacentral:rRNA from 1 species